rnacentral:rRNA from 1 species
AUAGCGCACAAGUAGAGUGAUCGAAAGAUGAAAAGCAGUUUGGAAAGAGAGUUAAACAGUACGUGAAAUUGUUGAAAGGGAAGCGCUUGCAACCAGACUUGCACGCCGUCGAUCAUCUCAGGUUCUCCUGGGUGCACUCGGCGGUGUUCAGGCCAGCAUCGGUUUCGGUGGUUGGAUAAAGGCCUUGGGAAUGUGGCUCCUCUUGGGGAGUGUUAUAGCCCUCGGUGCAAUGCAGCCUACCGGGACCGAGGACCGCGCUUCGGCUAGGAUGCUGG